GAUGAACGCUGGCGGCGUGCCUAAUACAUGCAAGUCGAGCGAACAGACGAGGAGCUUGCUCCUCUGACGUUAGCGGCGGACGGGUGAGUAACACGUGGAUAACCUACCUAUAAGACUGGGAUAACUUCGGGAAACCGGAGCUAAUACCGGAUAAUAUAUUGAACCGCAUGGUUCAAUAGUGAAAGACGGUUUUGCUGUCACUUAUAGAUGGAUCCGCGCCGCAUUAGCUAGUUGGUAAGGUAACGGCUUACCAAGGCAACGAUGCGUAGCCGACCUGAGAGGGUGAUCGGCCACACUGGAGCUGAGACACGGUCCAGACUCCUACGGGAGGCAGCAGUAGGGAAUCUUCCGCAAUGGGCGGAAGCCUGACGGAGCAACGCCGCGUGAGUGAUGAAGGUCUUCGGAUCGUAAAACUCUGUUAUUAGGGAAGAACAAAUGUGUAAGUAACUAUGCACGUCUUGACGGUGCCUAAUCAGAAAGCCACGGCUAACUACGUG
rnacentral:rRNA from 1 species